rnacentral:rRNA from 1 species
AUUGAACGCUGGCGGCAGGCCUAACACAUGCAAGUCGAACGGUAGCACAGAGAGCUUGCUCUCGGGUGACGAGUGGCGGACGGGUGAGUAAUGUCUGGGAAACUGCCCGAUGGAGGGGGAUAACUACUGGAAACGGUAGCUAAUACCGCAUAACGUCGCAAGACCAAAGUGGGGGACCUUCGGGCCUCACACCAUCGGAUGUGCCCAGAUGGGAUUAGCUAGUAGGUGGGGUAAUGGCUCACCUAGGCGACGAUCCCUAGCUGGUCUGAGAGGAUGACCAGCCACACUGGAACUGAGACACGGUCCAGACCCCUACGGGUGGCAGCAGUGGGGAAUAUUGCACAAUGGGCGCAAGCCUGAUGCAGCCAUGCCGCGUGUAUGAAGAAGGCCUUCGGGUUGUAAAGUACUUUCAGCGGGGAGGAAGGCGGUGAAGUUAAUAACUUCACCGAUUGACGUUACCCGCAGAAGAAGCACCGGCUAACUCCGUGCCAGCAGCCGCCGUAA